GAUGAAGAACGUAGCGAAAUGCGAUAAGUAAUGUGAAUUGCAGAAUUCAGUGAAUCAUCGAAUCUUUGAACGCACAUUGCGCCCGUCAGCAUUCUGGCGGGCAUGCCUGUUCGAGCGUCAUUUCAACCCUCGCAGCCCAUCUGGGCAGCGGUGUUGGGGACCGGCACCGCCGGCGAAGCCCUUAGGGGCCCAGCCGGCGCCGCCCCCGAAAUACAGUGGCGGUCUCGCUGCAGCCUCCCUUGCGUAGUAGCACACCUCGCACCGGAGCGCAGCGCGGCCACGCCGUAAAACCCCCGACUUUCUGAGUUUGACCUCGAAUCAGGUAGGAAUACCCGCUGAACUUAAGCAUAUCAAUAAGCGGAGGA
rnacentral:misc_RNA from 1 species